rnacentral:rRNA from 1 species
UACGUAGGGUGCGAGCGUUGUCCGGAAUUAUUGGGCGUAAAGAGCUUGUAGGCGGUUUGUCGCGUCUGCCGUGAAAGCCCGGGGCUUAACUCCGGGUCUGCGGUGGAUACGGGCAGACUAGAGGCAGGUAGGGGAGAACGGAAUUCCUGGUGUAGCGGUGAAAUGCGCAGAUAUCAGGAGGAACACCGGUGGCGAAGGCGGUUCUCUGGGCAUUACCUGACGCUGAGGAGCGAAAGUGUGGGGAGCGAACAGG